rnacentral:rRNA from 1 species
GAUGAACGCUGGCGGCGUGCUUAACACAUGCAAGUCGAACGGAAAGGCCCUGCUCUUGUGGGGUGCUCGAGUGGCGAACGGGUGAGUAUCACGUGAGUAACCUGCCCUUGACUUUGGGAUAUCUCUAGGAAACUGGGGCUAAUACCGGAUAGGAGCUCCUGCUGCAUGGUGGGGGUUGGAAAGUGUCGGCGGUUGGGGAUGGUCUCGCGGCUUAUCAGCCUGUUGGUGGGGUAGUGGCCUCCCACGGCUUUGACGGGUAGCCGGCCUGAGAGGGUGACCGGCCACAAUAGGACUACGGUACGGCGCAGAAUCCUACGGGAGGCAGCAGUGGGGAGUAUUGCACAGUAAGGGGAAGCCUGAUGCAGCAGCGCCGCGUGCGGGAUGACGGCCUUCGGGGUGUAAACCACUUUCGCCUGUGACGAAGAGUGAGUGACGGUAAUGGGUAAAGAAGCACCGGCUAACUACGUG